rnacentral:rRNA from 1 species
GAACGCUGGCGGCAUGCUUUACACAUGCAAGUCGAACGGCAGCACGGGUGCUUGCACCUGGUGGCGAGUGGCGGACGGUGAGUAAUAUAUCGGAACGUACCUUCAGUGGGGGAUAACGUAGCGAAAGUUACGCUAAUACCCGCAUAUUCUGUCGAGCAGGAAAGCAGGGGAUCGCAAGACCUUGCGCUGAUUGAGCGGCCGAUAUCAGAUUAGCUAGUUGGUGAGGUAAAGGCUCACCAAGGCGACGAUCUGUAGCGGGUCUGAGAGGAUGAUCCGCCACACUGGAACUGAGACACGGUCCCAGACUCCUACGGGAGGCAGCAGUGGGGAAUUUUGGACAAUGGGCGCAAGCCUGAUCCAGCCAUGCCGCGUGAGUGAAGAAGGCCUUCGGGUUGUAAAGCUCUUUCGGCCGGGAAGAAAUCGCACAGGUUAAUACCCUGUGUGGAUGACGGUACCGGAAUAAGAAGCACCGGCUAACUACGUG